AUGAUUCUUGCUCGUAUUCUUUCAUAUUUGCCUCACUUUUAUACACGUCGUUCGUGUGUUGUGGAUGCAUCUACUAAUGUGCCAUCUUCCCCGUCUCAGCCUACUUGUGGCCUGCGUCCUCGUCCUCUUUCGCCUACUUACCGCCUUAGUCUUUCAAACAUUGGCGUUGUUGUUCUUGAGCAGACUUGUUAUCUCGAUGUUGUUCAUACCAAAUGGCACCUUGCCAUGAUAGGGGAUAUUGCUACUGUUGAGCGCAUCAGCGCAUGGGAUAUUGUUUCUCUUCCUCCUCGUGUUCUUCCCAUUACUUGGUGGGUCUACAAGGUCAAGACUCGCUCCACUGGUUCCCUUGAGAUCAAAGCUUGUCUUAUGGCUUGUGGCUUUCAGCGGUAG
rnacentral:rRNA from 1 species